UGCUGCCCUCCAGCCCCACAGCCCUCGGGGAGCAGUGGGAUCGAGCUGCCCUGGGUGGGAGGCAGGAGACUCAGCCCUGCUGUGUUGCUGCUUCUGAAGGGCCAGAGCCCCGUGGCAGUGCCUGUGUCUUUCUGGAUGUGGCCAUGUGUGAUGUGCUCCAGACUUGGGAUAAAGGAGGAGGCACCACAGCCGAGUCUUGGUUUCCCAGACAGGUUCCUGAUGGCCACAAAUUAAGCAGGAGCUCCACUGCUCCCGAGGGCGAAGCCCAGGAAUGGCUGUGCUCUUAUAAAGCACCCAGGGUUUGGAUAAGGAAGAUGUCAGCCUGAGCUUCCUACACGUGAGUGCUUGGUCUUCCUGUGGUGCUGUUGGGAGUCUCUGGUGCUUUCCUCCCCCUCCUGGAACCACCCAGAGUAAGUGGUUCUUUGAUCUCUAGAGUUGUCACCCCUGGGAAAGGGUCUCUCUGCUGUGCCUGUUUGGUGUCCCAGCCCUGAAUCUCGUGUGGUUAUUGAACCCCACACCGGCUUCUGCCACGAAUCACUGCCCUGGGGAGACACAGGCUGAGCCACAC